rnacentral:rRNA from 1 species
UAACGCGUAAAGAACUUGCCUCACAGCUAGGGACAACAUUUAGAAAUGAAUGCUAAUACCUGAUAUUAUGAUUUUAAGGCAUCUUAGAAUUAUGAAAGCCAUAAGCACUGUGAGAGAGCUUUGCGUCCCAUUAGCUAGUUGGAGAGGUAACGGCUCACCAAGGCGAUGAUGGGUAGCCGGCCUGAGAGGGUGAACGGCCACAAGGGGACUGAGACACGGCCCUU